AGAGUUUGAUCAUGGCUCAGAUUGAACGCUGGCGGCAUGCCUUACACAUGCAAGUCGAGCGGCAGCGCGGGGGCAACCCUGGCGGCGAGCGGCGAACGGGUGAGUAAUACAUCGGAACGUGUCCAGUUGUGGGGGAUAACCAGUCGAAAGACUGGCUAAUACCGCAUACGAUCUACGGAUGAAAGCGGGGGAUCGCAAGACCUCGCGCUAUUGGAGCGGCCGAUGUCCGAUUAGCUGGUUGGCGGGGUAACGGCCCACCAAGGCGACGAUCGGUAGCUGGUCUGAGAGGAUGAUCAGCCACACUGGAACUGAGACACGGUCCAGACUCCUACGGGAGGCAGCAGUGGGGAAUUUUGGACAAUGGGGGCAACCCUGAUCCAGCCAUGCCGCGUGCGGGAAGAAGGCCUUCGGGUUGUAAACCGCUUUUGGCCGGGAAGAAAAGGCUGAGGUUAAUACCUUCGGUUUUUGACGGUACCGGCAGAAUAAGCACCGGCUAACUACGUGCCAGCAGCCGCGGUAAUACGUAGGGUGCGAGCGUUAAUCGGAAUUACUGGGCGUAAAGCGUGCGUAGGCGGUUCGUUGUGUCUGUGGUGAAAGCCCCGGGCUUAACCUGGGAAUGGCCAUGGAAACUGGCGAGCUGGAGUGUGGCAGAGGAGGGUGGAAUUCCGCGUAGCAGUGAAAUGCGUAGAGAUGCGGAGGAACACCGAUGGCGAAGGCAGCCCUCUGGGCUAACACUGACGCUGAGGCACGAAAGCGUGGGGAGCAAACAGGAUUAGAUACCCUAGUAGUCC
rnacentral:rRNA from 1 species